rnacentral:rRNA from 1 species
AGCAGCCGCGGUAAUUCCAGCUCCAAUAGCGUAUAUUAAAGUUGUUGCAGUUAAAAAGCUCGUAGUUGAAUUUCGGGAUCAGACUGUCGGUCGUGCCUCGGUACGCACUGGCAUUAUUGGUUCCUACCUUCUGAAGAACCGCGAUGUCAUUAAUUUGGUGUCGCGGGGAAUCAGGACUGUUACUUUGAAAAAAUUAGAGUGUUUAAAGCAGGCUUACGCUUGAAUACAUUAGCAUGGAAUAAUGAAAUAGGACGUUUGAUUCUAUUUUGUUGGUUUCUAGGAUCGACGUAGUGAUUAAUAGGGAUAGUUGGGGGCAUUAGUAUUCAAUUGUCAGAGGUGAAAUUCUUGGAUUUAUUGAAGACUAACUACUGCGAAAGCAUUUGCCAAGGAUGUUUUCAUUAAUCAAGAACGAAAGUUAGGGGAUCGAAGACGAUCAGAUACCGUCGUAGUCUUAACCAUAAACUANGUCCGACUAGGGAUCGGAUGAUGUUAAUUUUUAAAUUGACUCCAUUCGGCGCCU